rnacentral:rRNA from 1 species
UAUGGGGGGGGCAAGCGUUGUUCGGAAUUACUGGGCGUAAAGGGCUCGUAGGCGGCCAACUAAGUCAGACGUGAAAUCCCUCGGCUUAACCGGGGAACUGCGUCUGAUACUGGAUGGCUUGAGUGUGGGAGAGGGAUGCGGAAUUCCAGGUGUAGCGGUGAAAUGCGUAGAUAUCUGGAGGAACACCGGUGGCGAAGGCGGCAUCCUGGACCACGACUGACGCUGAGUGAGCGAAAGCCAGGGGAGCAAACGGG